UAUAUAUAUAUAACAAUUAAGCAGGGGAGCGCCUAUGUUUCAUACAUUUAACGUUAUAAAUUGGCUGGAAUUCACUGUGUGCAAGCCAGUGACCGUAGUCAACAUAUAUAUUACGGUUAUCAAAAAAAAAAAAAUGGCAGCUGACCUCAUCGACAAAUGAUUUCAUGCAGUGUCUACAUGUACCAUAGUGACGUCAAAACGAAGUCACCGAGAGCGCUCAAUGAUGAUAUUUUGUGUUACACUCAGGGGAAACUCCACCGGAACCGCAAUGGGUUUGAAAUUUAAGUGAUUUUCAAAAGAAUUAAUUGAGCUUGCGCUAAUUGAUACCUCAUGCACUAAAGGGUACAUUCCUGACUUCGCACAAUAAACGCAGCUGCAGAUAUUUUGAGAGCAUAAAGGAAUAAGACAGAGAAUGGCCAAAUCUAAUCAGGAAGGAUACCAAGAUGUGUGUCAAAGUUUGUUUUGGUAAAGAAGUGAAAUGAUACCACUUUUAAUGAAUGUUCUGCUCCGUAGUGUCUUACAAGAUGGCAGCAAAUUUUUGGUUUUUUAUUUUGGUAGUUAAAAAAACUUAGGAAUCGUUUUAAGUGAAGCAGGAUCUCUAUUAUGUAAGCUGCAUUUGAUGUUUUGAGGAUUAGCUUUCACUAUACUACAUACAUAUGUAUAGCUUGUCUAUGUCUAUUGAUACUGUAUAACGAUCUAGUUUGCCAAUACAACCUAUCAUUGGGUCAAAUGCUGUCUGACUUGUUUCAUACCGAUUGUUAGGCCGUUCUUUGGCACACUGAUUUUAACUAAGGACCACCGUUUACUUGAUCAAGAUACAGGGCUCACGGUAGGUGUGACCGGUCUAGAGGGGAUACUUACUCCUCCUAGACACCUCACCCCACCUCUGCUUUAUCCAGGAAUCCGUGUUUGCCCAACUCUUCAUUUUGCAUUUUUUAUAGGAGUUAUGAGAUUGAUCACUGUUCAUUAUCUUCACCUUUAUAUACACCUUUAAAUUCAUUCUUGGUUAUUUUCACGACUCGAUCUGUAGAUAUGUUGACUACGUUUUAUCUAUUAACAGUACUCGUUUUUAUUCAUAUUCCGAUUCGAUAUAUCCCAGUGAACUCGAAAAGACACCACAGAGCCUUCUAUAUCUACUUCAUUAUGGAUAUUUUGUUAACCACAAACUAACAACUCCACUUUAUGACAAACAGGGGGACUUCAGCUUCCCCAUUAUCAAUUUUCCGUAUUCUGAUUGUAAUCUUCUCACCUACAUAUGGUGCUUAUGUCUCUCAACUGAUUCAAUACACGAGAGCAUGUUUUAUGCAUGUUCAAUUUUAAAUCGGAACAGGCUACUGACAAAUAAAUUGAUGUUACAGGGGUUUCAACAGUCUCGUUUAAAAUCAGUAUUUUGCUAUUUCUAAGGUCGUUAAAAUGAUAUAAUUUGCAAAUACAACCUGUCAAUAUGUCGAAUAUUGUCUGUCUUGUUUCAUACCUAUUCAUAGGCCGUUUUGUACAUACUGAUUUGACUACAGAUUACUCCGUUUAUCUGAUCAAGAUACAGGACUCACGACGGGUGUGGCCGAUCAACAGGGGAUGCUUACUCCUCCUAGGCACUUAGUUCCAUCUAUAGUAUGUCCAGGGGUUCGUGUUUGCCCUUAUCUUAAUUUUCUAUUCAUCACAGGAUUUAUGAAAUUGAUCACCGUUCGUUAUCAUCACUUUUUUCACGGUUUAUUAUCUGAAUCAAGUUUCAUGUUAAAUUCACGAUUUACAAUAUUAUCAAUAUUCAUCGUUUGUAAAUGUUAUGGCUAAGUUAUAUUCAAUGCAUUUAAAUUUCAUGGUUAUAUGGCAUAUUGCGAAAAUAACGAAAAUUUAAUUGCAAGAAAAGACUGUAACCUUCACAGUUUUAACGACUUUAUCUAAACAGACUAGGGACCUAUAACAGAGCAUGCCAUGUUAAGAUUUAGAAGGUCAUUACGUGCUGGCUUCCUUUAUCUAAAAUACUUGGUCAAGGUGCCUCCUUACAUAUACACUCGUAACUAUUGCACUCGAGUUCUUCUUUUUUUUUUUUUAAUAAUACAUUGUAAGUAUUUUUAUCAUAGGCUACUACAGUUACAUGGAUGACUCAAUGCUAUCAUAACCGUCAUAAUGCAUCUUCCGUCGUAAACCAUUUUGUUACUUCUCAGAAACAGUGAGAUCCUGGGACAUUUUGGGUCCAAGGGAUGGGACUAAAACCUUAUAAAUAUUAUAAUGUCCAAUAAUUUUCUACUUUACAUCUAGCAUUAAAAUUGGGUGCAUGGUUAGCAAAGAAGCAUCUAUCAAAAUCGUGAAAUUCAUUACUUUUAGGUUAGGGGCCAGGUCUGGACAUAUACAAAGUAGAUGCAUACAGUUAUAUUGAGAAUGGAGGCCUCUGCCACAGCUGUGAAUUCAUGACCCUCAGGUAAGGUGUUCAUGCUCCAGGCUAGAACUAUAUGGAUCAUUACAUGUAGUAAAAAUGCAUUAAAUGUUGGAGAAUCUUCUUCACUUCUUAACAAUCAUAUUGAGCAUCUACAAAAUUGUGAUACUCAUGACACCUUGGUCAAAGGUUCAGACUCCAAACUGAGGAUAUAUAAAUCACAUAAAGAAAAUCUUUUUAAGAAACAAGGUAUCAUUUUAAAAUUUACUUCGAGAUAUGAAUAAGGGUUGGUCACGUGAUCAAAUUCCGGAGGGUUUAUGGUAAAUUUCAUCACUUACCAACCCUUAUUUAUAUCCCGAUAGAUAUUUUUAAAUGAUACCUUAUUACUUAUAUUUACAUUUUUGAUCGAUAACCAUUGCUGAAUUGUAUUAACAACACGUUUCCAUACAUUUCAUAUUGUUAACCAACAUAUUGCUUCUUUUAAAAUGACGAAAACACACAACAAAGUUCCAUCAAAUGAAGAACUGUUUUAAUUAUAAAGACACUGAAAAGCAAGUAUGUCAACAAAGACAUAUACAUUAAAUCAGGAAUGCAUAAUUGAAAACUCUUCCUUAUGUCUAAAUUGGUAACUUUGGUAAAAUCUGAUAAAAACGUACUGCGAAAGGGUGUGUGCAACGUUACAGCUUUGCUGCGCCUUUCACUUUUGAAAGUUGAAGACGCAGUUAUUGAAGACCGACUUUGAAAGAUAUUCUGUGGACAUAACGGAGUUAACAGAAGACUGAGGUGGAGGAACAUGAAGAACAGGGCGGCAGUCGUCAGGUGUAGGGAAAUCAUUUAUAUACAGGACAGACGAUGCAGAUGAAUCUCCUGACAGAACUGACAUCGCAGAGGAUGUGGAAGUGUACGAAGGUUUUCAACGACGCCUCCCUUCGAUGCCCCGACAUAAACAUGAUUUGGCGUGUUUGGAAACCGGCAUCACUCAUGGCUGUAGACCUAAUGGCUGUGGCACACCGGCAUUGCGGUGUAUAGGUCUUAAUGCACUAUGUAAUUCUAAUUUGCCAUAAAGGAAAGAUCCAAAUUCAAUCAAAGACAAUUUGCAAA